rnacentral:tRNA from 1 species
GCCGAUAUGAUGGAAUUGGUAGACAUGAAUGAUUCAAAAUCAUUUUCCUUCGGGAGUGGCGGUUCGAGUCCGCCUAUCGGUA